ACCAUGUAACAUAUCAAGGCUGGAAAUAAGGAAUCAUGCUUAACUUGACUUGAGGGCCAAGAAAUGUUAAUUUCCAGCAACUCUAAGGAGGAAAAAGUGCUUAAGGACCACCUGAAAGUAUAACCGAAUU